GAAGCGGGACAGACCAUCGCUGCUGCCAGUGUAAUGCUGGCGGGGGAGGAAAGUCCGGGCUCCAUAGAGCAGAAUGCUGGUUAACGACCAGGCGGCGUGAGCCGACGGAAAGUGCAACAGAGAGCUGAACCGCCAGUUAUCCAAGUUGAACAGUCAGAUGAGAUGAUUGGGAUUGGAUGAUCGGUAAGGGUGAAAAGGUGUCCUCGUCAGAGGAGCCCCGUAAAGGGGUCGGUAAGAGCGCACCGCGGCGCUGGUAACAGUCGCUGGCAGGGUAAACCCCAUUCGGAGCAAGACCAAGCAGUAGGCGUUGAAGCUGCUCGCUGAGUCUACGGGUAGGUUGCUUGAGCACGUCAGUAAUGGCGCGCCUAGAGGAAUGAUGGUCACGGAUGGCAACAUCUGGACAGGACCCGGCUUAUCGGCCCGCUUCGCCC
rnacentral:RNase_P_RNA from 1 species